GGCUGGUCUAAAGUAGUGAGUUAUCUCACUUGAUUGUUCACAGUCAGCUCACUUGAUUGAACUCCUUGUUCUACUACUUAACCCCCUUCUCACUACUGCACUAGACUAGUCAAAA
rnacentral:Y_RNA from 1 species